rnacentral:rRNA from 1 species
GACGAACGCUGGCGGCGUGCUUAACACAUGCAAGUCGAACGAAGAGCGACGGAAGCUUGCUUCUAUCACUCUUAGUGGCGACCGGGUGAGUAACGCGUAAUCAACCUGCCCUUCAGAGGGGGACAACAGUUGGAAACGACUGCUAAUACCGCAUACGAUCUAAUCUCGGCAUCGAGGAUGGAUGAAAGGUGGCCUCUACAUGUAAGCUAUCACUGAAGGAGGGGAUUGCGUCUGAUUAGCUAGUUGGAGGGGUAACGGCCCACCAAGGCGAUGAUCAGUAGCCGGUCUGAGAGGAUGAACGGCCACAUUGGGACUGAGACACGGCCCAGACUCCUACGGGAGGCAGCAGUGGGGAAUCUUCCGCAAUGGACGAAAGUCUGACGGAGCAACGCCGCGUGAGUGAUGACGGCCUUCGGGUUGUAAAGCUCUGUUAAUCGGGACGAAAGGCCUUCUUGCGAAUAGUGAGAAGGAUUGACGGUACCGGAAUAGAAAGCCACGGCUAACUACGUG